AGUAAGCCCCUGUGACGGGGCUCCUCGAGCCUCUGGAGCCCUGGGGAGAGUUUGCAUUUUAAGGUCACAUCUCCAUCCUCCAGGAGAAGGAUGAGAGGGGCCGGCUUUAAGUCCUAGUUCUCGGGUAUAUAAUUAAACAGAGAUUUUCCUUCCUGAAGGAACAAAAAGAGGCCAAGGACAGCCUAAUUGCAACCUCAAGAUUGCUUCUCCAAGAGUGGCCUGAGCAAGUGGGCCGAGGUAGAUUUGCAACUCUGGCUGGUGUGGUGGCCUGAGCCAGCGGGGCCCAGGUUCGGCUGCUGACGGCGGUCCACAGGAGGGGAGGGUCUGUUGGGCAGGGGAGCCUCUGCCUUGCUUCCUUUUAGGGUGAGCCUUUGGUUUUCCUGUCCCAAACGGGGGGGCCACGUGGGAGCCAGCAGCACACACUGGCCACCACUGACCACUCCUGCUGUCCUGGCACUCCGCCCGCUCCCAAAGCAGCAGCCCAUAGUGACAGGUCGCGAGUGCCAUCAGAAGGGUGCACCGCUUUAUUUACGCGGCUGUCAGCCAGGCUGGCUCUUCCAAAGUCGCGCAUUACCAGACAAGUGAAGGCAAAAUAGUGAUGCUUUAUUAAUUGCGGGUAUGGCUGCUAAUUAGAACCCAGGCCUGGGUUUUUAUACCUGUUUACAUACACUUGCUCCAGAGCGGAAGGACUUUCUCAUCUCUCCUUGCCUCUCCCCCACCCCCAGAAGAGAAUUUCAACUUUAAGACAAACAACUUCAUUUACAAGUGUGUCUCUAAUUAGCUGCAGAAUUAGGGAAGCUGAGCUUUCCCCCAUAGAUCCGCUCAAGCCUCCAGGGAGACUGGUGGAAUAGAGAGAAUCGCAUUUCCAAUUAUUUUGUUGAAUUGCUAAUUUAGUUAUUGUGCCUGGUGUAAUUGUGAUGGGUAUUGGGUGUGCAAUUCAAUUUGUUUUAAAUAUUUGUGGGAAGGCUGAUCAGUAAUGGAGCUGACCUAUUUUGUGGCCCAAAUUGAGAAAAAAAAGACUACAACACAACAGCCACAAAGAUAGAGUUUGUUUCCAUUUUUAUUUUGAUUUCUCUCAUCCCUCUUAAGACCAUUGAUGCAACAAAAGGAUUAAAUUAAAAGAUGACAGCACUUUGAUCUUCUCCCUUUGAAAGCUUAACUGUCCUUGGUAGUUUAAUAUGCAGCUAUUUCAGGGUAGAGUUUAGAUGCAUUGCUGGAGUUGAGUCGUUUCUGCCUCCCAAAAUUGCAUUUCUGCAUGUGCCUAAAAGUGAUUUGGGGUACUCAACUUUCUAAUAGUGUGUAAAGUAGUGGAGGUGUAUCUGUAACAAAUAAAGCAAAGCCGUGAGAGCCACAAGUUCGCCACUCCUACUGGGCAGAAGUCCAUUGCAGAGUCCUGGAACCUUCCCUCCAGGCAGUACCAUGUGCAGAGGUCGGUGGCCAGGAACCCCACCCCUGGCAUUUGCAUAAAGCUCGCCCCUCGGGAGCCCUGCUCCUGGUUGGUUUGAGCCUGUGCAGGUGAGAGGAGGGCUAGGUGAUAAGUUCCCUCAUGGCUAGCGGUGACUCUGGAACUCCUGGAGGGCCAAGCUCCAGUGUCUCUCUUCAGCCAGAGUCUGGACCGGGAGGGGCCUCCGUUGAGCACGCGUUUCACUUGGAAAUCCAGAACAAGAGCGAGUGGGUCGCCAUGUGAACAGUAAGAAUGCACCAUGGCAUCAGGCUGUGGGAACAUGAGAGCAUGCCAAACCAAAGAGCGUCUGAGCACCCACUGUGCUCCGGAGUCAGCCCCCUUUCCACCGAGCGUGGCAGCCAAUCUGGGCCUGAGCCAAAAUAUGUAGCAGAAUUGAAGCUUUUCCUAGAAUUGCUACAUUGGAAACUUUUGAACUCUGAACUUCAGUUAGGAUAAAAUAUCCAGGGUGACACUCCAAAGUAAUGUCAGAAAGAGUACAUUCUCAAUGGGCCCCCCACAAAGAGGUAAGUAAGGAGUAAUAGCAUAGCAUUCUCUCCCAGGUCUCAACAAAAAUACUAGAGCCAAGGAAUGUGGGAUCAAGUGAAAUCUAAUGCUGAAUGAACCUCAUAUAUAUGAAUGAGGGGGUUUCAGGUCCCCCUACCCUUUGUUAUACAACUACCAUCUUCUUUUGAACAUCCUGGUAUUUUGUUUAUACACUAUGGCUUUAUCAUUUUGCUCAAGACAUUUCUCUUGUCUCUGUGAGGCAAUGUCUGUUUCUGACUUAUUUUGACUUAUUUUUGUUCUCUGAAGUGGGUAGCAUCAUUCCUAACACACAGAACUCAAUAAAAAUGUGUAGGAUUGACUUAA